GGAGGUGCUGAGGCAUUUUCUGGGGUUCAAAUGGAGAAAAGGAAAUGUGGAUACAUUUUCUGGAGACGGGGUUCAAAUGGAGAAAAGGAAAUGUGGAUACAUUUUCUGGAGAACGGGGUUCAUUCUGGCGAUCGAGAGUUAUCGUCAGGCGACUGGGGUUCAAACUGGAGAUCGGGGUUCAUUAUGUUGGCAAAAAGGAGUGCUGAGGCAUUUUCUGGGGUUCAAAUGCAGAGGUCCGAGGAUCGUUUGCGCAGAGAAAAUUUCGGGGUUCAAGAAAAUAAGAAAAAGAAGCAGAGAAACGUUC
rnacentral:lncRNA from 1 species